rnacentral:misc_RNA from 1 species
GGUUGGGAGAGUUGGUUCCUUGCCACAGGUUUUUGCACUAGGAAAGUCUAGAUGUUUUUUGCACUAGGAAUGUCCAGAUUUUUUUUUGUUAGAUAGGAAGGGUUUUGAUCCCAUUAAGCAUUUAUCUGUGGAAGUGAGUUGCAGAAUCAUAUAUUAUUAUAUGCUGUUUAGAAUGUUUGUAUGUGAUUUUCUAUGUUUUUUUU